ACGGGAGGCAGCAGUGGGGGAUAUUGCACAAUGGGCGAAAGCCUGAUGCAGCGACGCCGCGUGAGUGAAGAAGUAUUUCGGUAUGUAAAGCUCUAUCAGCAGGGAAGAAGAAUGACGGUACCUGACUAAGAAGCACCGGCUAAAUACGUGCCAGCAGCCGCGGUAAUACGUAUGGUGCAAGCGUUAGCCGGAUUUACUGGGUGUAAAGGGAGCGCAGGCGGUAUGGCAAGUCUGAUGUGAAAGCCCGGGGCUCAACCCCGGUACUGCAUUGGAAACUGCCAAACUAGAGUGUCGUAGAGGUAAGUGGAAUUCCUAGUGUAGCGGUGAAAUGCGUAGAUAUUAGGAGGAACACCAGUGGCGAAGGCGGCUUACUGGACGAUAACUGACGCUGAGGCUCGAAAGCGUGGGGAGCAAACAGGAUUAGAUACCCUGGUA
rnacentral:rRNA from 1 species